rnacentral:rRNA from 1 species
UGUGUAGGCGGCCGCGCAAGUCGGAUGUGAAAGCCCCGGGCUCAACCCGGGAAGUGCACCCGAAACUGCAUGGCUUGAGUACCGGAGAGGUUGGUGGAAUUCUCGGUGUAGAGGUGAAAUUCGUAGAUAUCGAGAGGAACACCGGUGGCGAAGGCGGCCAACUGGACGAGUACUGACGCUGAGAUACGAAAGCGUGGGGAGCAAACAGGAUUAGAUACCCCGGUAGUCCACGCCGUAAACGAUGGGUGCUAGGUGUCACGGGCUUUGACUCCUGUGGUGCCGUAGCCAACGCAUUAAGCACCCCGCCUGGGAAGUACGGCCGCAAGGCUAAA